rnacentral:rRNA from 1 species
CAGCAGCCGCGGUAAUACGUAGGGGGCAAGCGUUAUCCGGAUUUACUGGGUGUAAAGGGAGCGUAGACGGUUUUGCAAGUCUGAAGUGAAAGCCCGGGGCUUAACCCCGGGACUGCUUUGGAAACUGUAGAACUAGAGUGCAGGAGAGGUAAGUGGAAUUCCUAGUGUAGCGGUGAAAUGCGUAGAUAUUAGGAGGAACACCAGUGGCGAAGGCGGCUUACUGGACUGUAACUGACGUUGAGGCUCGAAAGCGUGGGGAGCAAACAGGAUUAGAUACCCUGGUAGUCCGCACGGUAAACGAUGAAUACUCGCUGUUUGCGAUAUACAGCAAGCGGCCAAGCGAAAGCGUUAAGUAUUCCACCUGGGGAGU